rnacentral:rRNA from 1 species
ACUUCUUUAUCACCGAGUGCUUGCACUCACCGAUAAAGAGUUGAGUGGCGAACGGGUGAGUAACACGUGGGCAACCUGCCCAAAAGAGGGGGAUAACACUUGGAAACAGGUGCUAAUACCGCAUAACCAUAGUUACCGCAUGGUAACUAUGUAAAAGGUGGCUAUGCUACCGCUUUUGGAUGGGCCCGCGGCGCAUUAGCUAGUUGGUGGGGUAAAGGCUUACCAAGGCAAUGAUGCGUAGCCGAACUGAGAGGUUGAUCGGCCACAUUGGGACUGAGACACGGCCCAAACUCCUACGGGAGGCAGCAGUAGGGAAUCUUCCACAAUGGGCGAAAGCCUGAUGGAGCAACGCCGCGUGGGUGAAGAAGGUCUUCGGAUCGUAAAACCCUGUUGUUAGAGAAGAAAGUGCGUGAGAGUAACUGUUCACGUUUCGACGGUAUCUAACCAGAAAGCCACGGCUAACUACGUGCCAGCAGCCGCGGUAAUACGUAGGUGGCAAGCGUUAUCCGGAUUUAUUGGGCGUAAAGGGAACGCAGGCGGUCUUUUAAGUCUGAUGUGAAAGCCUUCGGCUUAACCGGAGUAGUGCAUUGGAAACUGGGAGACUUGAGUGCAGAAGAGGAGAGUGGAACUCCAUGUGUAGCGGUGAAAUGCGUAGAUAUAUGGAAGAACACCAGUGGCGAAAGCGGCUCUCUGGUCUGUAACUGACGCUGAGGUUCGAAAGCGUGGGUAGCAAACAGGAUUAGAUACCCUGGUAG